rnacentral:lncRNA from 1 species
GAUAUUUGGGAUCGAGCACUAUAUGAUUAAGACAAUUGAUGCUACUUCUAUUUUGUUCCAAGUCGUAUCAGAAGCUUAACAACACGUGUUCAUAUGCAAUACGAAUUAUAAUUAAUGCACUACAGAAACUCUGUAAAGGAGAUAAAUAUCGGACUUUAAGGUUACUUUUCUUCCCUGAACAGAAAGUACCAUUAGUAUGUAUGAUUGCCCAUUUCAUGAUAUGUUCCCUGACAGAAUAGUCAACUAGCAAAAUUAACUACCAAUAUUUGUAAAUUCUUUCAAGUGAAUCAUUUUUCUAAAGUGUCUGAUAGUAUGUAUAUGAAAUGAUCAAAAUCAAGUUUGAUUUUCAAUUUUAACGACGGUUAGGAAGUUGAAACUCUUUUAUUCUACAUCUGAAUAAAAAUAAUUGUUAGAAAUUACAAAGAAUUGUCUCCCUUCCACCAUAUAAAUAAAUCUUGACUCUAGUAAAAUCACUUAGUGCUGUAAGAUACAUGAUUUCUUUCAAGUACAUAAGUGUUUGUGUUCGAAUUUCUCCCUUAAUUUGAAGGAAAGCAAAAAUGAUAUAGAAUCUGCUAAUAAUCUGCAAUGAUUUUUGUUUUGUUUUGGGAAAAUUGACUUAUAGUCAAAACAACAUAGAAUUGUAUGUUUAUCCUAUGAAAUAUGCAAUAAAUACUUUUUUUUCCGAAAUCUUACAACAAUAUUUCAGGUAAGGAUGUUAAACCGGAUUAUCAUACAAAUGGUGAUAUUUAUCAAUGAUAGAGAAUUUAUCUUAAUAAUUGAUAACACAUUUCCAUCUUUCCAAAUUCAGAAG